rnacentral:rRNA from 1 species
CUCCUUUUUCAAAUCAGUGAAAUUAAUCUCCCCGUGAAGAAGCGGGGAUACUCAUAUAAGACGAGAAGACCCCAUGGAGCUUCAAACCCAACUACACCCCUAGCUCUUAUAGCCCCACAACCCCCCUAGGCACCGUGUACUUGGUUUUAGGUUGGGGCGACCGCGGAGUACAAUAAAACCUCCACAAUGAAUGGGAACACCCCCUUAUCUGAGGGCCACACCCCCUAAGAAUUAGAACACUAACAUAAAAUGAUCCAUUACUUGAUCAAUGAACCAAGUUACCCUGGGGAUAACAGCGCAAUCCAUUUCAAGAGCCCCUAUCGACAAAUGGGUUUACGACCUCGAUGUUGGAUCAGGGUACCCCAGUGGUGCAGCAGCUACUAACGGUUCGUUUGUUCAACGAUUAAAACCCU